UCCCUGGUUGCCCAGUGGUUAGGACUCUGUGCUUUCACUGCUGUGACCCAGGUUCAAUCCCUGGUUGGGGAA
rnacentral:tRNA from 1 species